AUUGAACGCUGGCGGCAGGCCUAACACAUGCAAGUCGAACGAGUGGCGGACGGGUGAGUAAUGUCUGGGCAACUGCCUGAUGGAGGGGGAUAACUACUGGAAACGGUAGCUAAUACCGCAUACCAUCAGAUGUGCCCAGAUGGGAUUAGCUUGUAGGUGGGGUAACGGCUCACCAAGGCGACGAUCCCUAGCUGGUCUGAGAGGAUGACCAGCCACACUGGGACUGAGACACGGUCCAGACUCCUACGGGAGGCAGCAGUGGGGAAUAUUGGACAAUGGGCGCAAGCCUGAUCCAGCCAUGCCGCGUGUGUGAAGAAGGUCUUCGGAUUGUAAAGCACUUUAAGUUGGGAGGCGUUACCAACAGAAUAAGCACCGGCUAACUUCGUGCCAGCAGCCGCGGUAAUUC
rnacentral:rRNA from 1 species